rnacentral:snRNA from 1 species
GGAUGUGAUAUCCAGCUGCUGUAACAUCUGUUACCUCAUUGAUCACCAGGUUUGAUUUGGCUGAUCUGGCUUGGUAGGCAGGUGUCCACCUCCUCCUUUACCACGCC